CUUGAACAUCAGCUUCAUCAUGUGACUCAUAGUCUCCAGCCUCGGUCAUGAGCAUCACUCGAUUGUUUGGACACUCGCGAGACAUAUGACCUCUUCCCCUGCAUUUGAAACAAGUAAUAUCUCUUGCACGCUGAGGGCUAUUAGUCUUACCUGCCUCUGGUCUGGUGUCUUUGCUUGUUUCAACCGCCUUCCCUUUGAAACGUGAAUCAAUUUCCACACUCUUGCCUUUGUCGAGUGGUUUGUUGAAGUUGGUGUUCCAAGUGGUUUGCGGCUUGCUUCUAGUGUUGGAGAUCUUUUUCUUGAUGUGUUGUUCUGCCUGUAUAGACAAAUGGAAAAGAUCUUUGAAGUCUUGAUAUACCUGUCUCUCCACUUUGCGGCUGAUCCUCUCUUGUAAGCCAUCAAGGAAUUGCGC
rnacentral:lncRNA from 1 species